GACGAACGCUGGCGGCGUGCCUAAUACAUGCAAGUCGAGCGGACCAAAGGGAGCUUGCUCCUGGAGGUUAGCGGCGAACGGGUGAGUAACACGUGGGCAACCUGCCUGUAAGACUGGGAUAACAUCGAGAAAUCGGUGCUAAUACCGGAUAAUAAAAAGAACUGCAUGGUUCUUUUUUGAAAGAUGGUUUCGGCUAUCACUUACAGAUGGGCCCGCGGCGCAUUAGCUAGUUGGUGAGGUAACGGCUCACCAAGGCGACGAUGCGUAGCCGACCUGAGAGGGUGAUCGGCCACACUGGGACUGAGACACGGCCCAGACUCCUACGGGAGCAGCAGUAGGGAAUCUUCCGCAAUGGACGAAAGUCCGACGGAGCGAACGCCGCGUGAGUGAUGAAGGUUUUCGGA
rnacentral:rRNA from 1 species